rnacentral:rRNA from 1 species
ACUCCUACGGGAGGCAGCAGUGGGGAAUAUUGCACAAUGGGGAAGCCAUCGAUGCAGCCAUGCCGCGCUGUGUGAAGAAGGCCAAUUCGGGCUUUGGUUAAAGACACUUUCAGUAGGGAGGAAGGUAGUGUAGUUAACACCUGCACUAUUUGACGUUACCUACAGAAGAAGCACCGGCUAACUCCGUGCCAGCAGCCGCGGUAAUACGGAGGGUGCGAGCGUUAAUCGGAAUUACUGGGCGUAAAGCGCAUGCAGGCGGCCUGUUAAGUCAGAUGUGAAAGCC